rnacentral:lncRNA from 1 species
UUUAAAAGUGAAAAUUACUGUUUAUUUUAGUGUGACUUGUUUAUAGUUUCUAAAAUUUUAUUGGUUUCAUUGAAAUUGAAAACAUAAGCGUUGAUUACUAUAAUUCUAGCUAUAGGUUGUGGGUAACCAUUACCACCCUAUUUAACAAACUUCUCAACUUAACCAAAAUUUACGAAUAGCAGCGAAAAGACUUUUUUUUCAAAAGUUGGCUCAGUUGUGGUCUUUAUCUUUAGCUUGUAGGUUAUACUUGGUGCAAAAAGCCUAAUUCAGGUUUUAAAUUGUUAACUUAUUUUAAAAUAAUUAUAAUUGUUAUUAUAAAGAUUUAUUUAUUUUACUUAUUUAUUUUUUUAGGUUGGGGGGGGGGGCACAAGCCCCUCCCACAAGUCAAUAAGCACACCACCAAUAAAUGAAUUUCUUGUAGCAAAAAAAAUUUUUAUGUUUUUUAUACUGUAUACUAGUUUCACUUAUUUUAUUAAA